rnacentral:lncRNA from 1 species
GGCCAUAGUUUUACAUCUUUCCCAAAAAACCACUACGUGGCAGACUAAAAAGUUCUUGAAUUUACUGUUCUAGGGAAGAAAAAGGGCUGAGCUGAACUUUCUAGAUGUCCAUGGGUCAGAUAUAGUUAAGACUUAGGUUUUUUAUGGACCACACAAGAUGUAUAUGACCUAUUCCCAUAAUAACUCAGGGGUUGGGGGGGGCAAGAAAUACUAAUAUCCCUAUCACCUAGAGAAGGAAGGAAACUUAGGCUCAGAGAGGUUAAGUAGCUUACCCAAGAUCACAAAGACUCUCUUACUACUCCAUGAAGCUUGCCCGCUCAUUUGACCACUAUGACUAUGAAAUGUCCAAUGAUAGGACUUGUUUUUGAAGCCCAGCUUGCCAUGGUGGGGAUUAAAAAGAUAGAAAUCUUGUAAAGUUUGGAGAAUUAUCUCAAUUAAAAAGCUUCCAGUGAAACCAAAGAUGGCCACACAUGUACUGGUGUGAAAGUACGGGGUGAUGUGGUUGAGGUCACAAUGCACUGGACUUCCUAAAAAUAAUCUCAUUCAUUAUGUUCUUAACUAGAGGGCUGGAUGAAGUUCCCCAAGACACUUACCUGCAGAAUGGUUCCAAGAAUGAGAAGCCACCAAAUACUCAUUCUUUGUGAUAAGCUACAUCCCCCAUCCCUAAUAUAAGCCAAGAAGAAAGAAUAGCUAUGAGGUGUAGAACUUGGAAUGUUUUAUGGAGCCGUAUUCUGGUUUUCUGCAUUCUGGGUCCUCUUACAUCUUCAUGCACAGAGAUGCAUCAUGGGAAUGAUGACAUCGCUCCAUCUUACCUGGUCCAGAGAGUUCCAAGCUGGGGUAGGCCUUCUGUAUACAGGCCCCCAGCAACGCUCAAGAAGUGCAUAUGUGAGCAGAGGGAAGGAACCUUCAAAGGGGUGUUCUGA